AGAGUUUGAUCCUGGCUCAGGAUGAACGCUGGCGGCGUGCCUAAUACAUGCAAGUCGAACGAAUCUCUUCGGAGAUGAGUGGCGAACGGGUGAGUAAUACAUAGGUAACCUGCCCCUGUGCGGGGGAUAACAGGAGGAAACUCCUGCUAAUACCGCAUAGCCAUGAGCACCGCAUGGAGCUCAUGCCAAAUAUCCUUUCGGGGAUAGCGCAGGGAUGGACCUAUGGCGCAUUAGCUUGUUGGCGGGGCAACGGCCCACCAAGGCAACGAUGCGUAGCCGGCCUGAGAGGGCGGACGGCCACAUUGGGACUGAGACACGGCCCAGACUCCUACGGGAGGCAGCAGUAGGGAAUUUUCGGCAAUGGGGGAAACCCUGACCGAGCAACGCCGCGUGAGCGAAGAAGGCCUUCGGGUCGUAAAGCUCUGUUGUAAAGGAAGAACGGCGCAUACAGGAAAUGGUAUGCGAGUGACGGUACUUUACCAGAAAGCCACGGCUAACUACGUGCCAGCAGCCGCGGUAAUACGUAGGUGGCGAGCGUUAUCCGGAAUCAUUGGGCGUAAAGAGGGAGCAGGCGGCCGCAAGGGUCUGUGGUGAAAGACCGAAGCUAAACUUCGGUAAGCCAUGGAAACCGGGCGGCUAGAGUGCGGAAGAGGAUCGUGGAAUUCCAUGUGUAGCGGUGAAAUGCGUAGAUAUAUGGAGGAACACCAGUGGCGAAGGCGACGGUCUGGGCCGCAACUGACGCUCAUUCCCGAAAGCGUGGGGAGCAAAUAGGAUUAGAUACCCUAGUAGUCCACGCCGUAAACGAUGGUCACUAAGUGUCGGGGGUCAAACCCCGGUGCUGCAGUCAACGCAAUAAGUGAUCCACCUGGGGAGUACGACCGCAAGGUUGAAA
rnacentral:rRNA from 1 species